GGGGGGCAAGCGUUGUUCGGAAUUACUGGGCGUAAAGGGCUCGUAGGCGGCCAACUAAGUCACACGUGAAAUCCCCAGGCUUAACCUGGGAACUGCGUGUGAUACUGGAUGGCUUGAAUUCGGGAGAGGGAUGCAGAAUUCCAGGUGUAGCGGUGAAAUGCGUAGAUAUCUGGAGGAAUACCGGUGGCGAAGGCGGCAUCCUGGACCGACAUUGACGCUGAGGAGCGAAAGCUAGGGGAGCAAACGGGAUUAGAUACCCCGGUAGUCCUAGCCCUAAACGAUGAAUGCUUGGUGUGGCGGGUAUCGAUCCCUGCCGUGCCGAAGCUAACGCAUUAAGCAUUCCGCCUGGGGAGUACGGUCGCAAGGCUG
rnacentral:rRNA from 1 species